UACGUAGGGCGCAAGCGUUGUCCGGAAUCAUUGGGCGGAAAGCGCGCGUAGGCGGCCCUGUAAGUCCGUUGUGAAAGUCAAAGGCUCAACCUUUGAAAGCCGAUGGAUACUGCAGGGCUAGAGUCCGGAAGAGGCGAGUGGAAUUCCUGGUGUAGCGGUGGAAUGCGCAGAUAUCAGGAGGAACACCAAUAGCGAAGGCAGCUCGCUGGGACGGUACUGACGCUAAGGCGCGAAAGCGUGGGGAGCGAACAGG
rnacentral:rRNA from 1 species